AAAUCCACUUGGGGUGAAAUGAAAAGCGGAAUAAAGACAUGUAAGCAAGAUCUUCAGCGACACUAUUAUACUUAUUCAAUUGAUACAUUUGGCUCGUCGCACAAUGAUUCAUGCAGCAACAUCUUUUAAAGGGAUUGAUGUCAUGUACUUGUAGGUUUUCUAUUCAAACUUACCCAUGGGAAAAGACCGAUACAUGCUCGUUGUUUACACACCGUUCAAUGACCCAAUCUCCUAAAAUGCAGUCGCCUCCUUGUCGAUUUAAUUGGGUGCUAAAUCGUGGUUGUAUUCCUCAUCUUCUAUGAACUCUUCAUUCUUCAAAUAAAUGUGAAGCAUCACAGUGUCAUAUGAUAAUAGAAUGUCACUUCUAAAUGACGUUUAACGUUGUUCUUAAGAUGGUCAAAAUCAUGCAACAUCAAAAACUUAAAAGAUGUAAUACCAUUCCAAUCUUUUUUCAGUUUCUUAUUUGGUUUAAAUUCAUGUUGUUUUGUUGCUUUAGAUCCGUAGGAAAUUUUCCAAUUCGUCUUCGUUAUCUGAAUAUCUUGCUCUUGAUUAAGGACCCAUGAGAGUCCUACAAUAAGUGCUUGAUAUUUAUUUUGUUAUGUAAUGUGUCUUGCUCUUUCUCAGUAUAUCACUGUUAUUCUUGCCUUC